AUGAACGCUAGCGACAGGCUUAACACAUGCAAGUCGAGGGGCAGCGGGGGUAGCGAUACCCGCCGGCGACCGGCGCACGGGUGAGUAACGCGUAUGCAACUUGCCUAUCAGAGGGGGAUAACCCGGCGAAAGUCGGACUAAUACCGCAUGAAGCAGGGGCCCCGCAUGGGGAUAUUUGCUAAAGAUUCAUCGCUGAUAGAUAGGCAUGCGUUCCAUUAGGCAGUUGGCGGGGUAACGGCCCACCAAACCGACGAUGGAUAGGGGUUCUGAGAGGAAGGUCCCCCACAUUGGUACUGAGACACGGACCAAACUCCUACGGGAGGCAGCAGUGAGGAAUAUUGGUCAAUGGGCGUAAGCCUGAACCAGCCAAGUCGCGUGAGGGAUGAAGGUUCUAUGGAUCGUAAACCUCUUUUAUAAGGGAAUAAAGUGCGGGACGUGUCCCGUUUUGUAUGUACCUUAUGAAUAAGGAUCGGCUAACUCCGUGCCAGCAGCCGCGGUAAUACGGAGGAUCCGAGCGUUAUCCGGAUUUAUUGGGUUUAAAGGGUGCGUAGGCGGCCUUUUAAGUCAGCGGUGAAAGUCUGUGGCUCAACCAUAGAAUUGCCGUUGAAACUGGGGGGCUUGGGUAUGUUUGAGGCUGGCGGAAUGCGUGGUGUAGCGGUGAAAUGCAUAGAGAUCAAGCAGAAACCCGAUUGCGAAGGCAGCCUGCCAGGCCAUUACUGACGCUGAUGCACGAAAGCGUGGGGAUCAAACAGGAUUAGAUACCCUGGUAGUCCACGCAGUAAACGAUGAUCACUAGCUGUUUGCGAUACACUGUAAGCGGCACAGCGAAAGCGUUAAGUGAUCCACCUGGGGAGUACGCCGGCAACGGUGAAACUCAAAGGAAUUGACGGGGGCCCGCACAAGCGGAGGAACAUGUGGUUUAAUUCGAUGAUACGCGAGGAACCUUACCCGGGUUUGAACGCAUUCGGACCGAGGUGGAAACACCUUUUCUAGCAAUAGCCGUUUGCGAGGUGCUGCAUGGUUGUCGUCAGCUCGUGCCGUGAGGUGUCGGCUUAAGUGCCAUAACGAGCGCAACCCUUGCCACUAGUUACUAACAGGUAAAGCUGAGGACUCUGGUGGGACUGCCAGCGUAAGCUGCGAGGAAGGCGGGGAUGACGUCAAAUCAGCACGGCCCUUACAUCCGGGGCGACACACGUGUUACAAUGGCGUGGACAAAGGGAGGCCACCUGGCGACAGGGAGCGAAUCCCCAAACCACGUCUCAGUUCGGAUCGGAGUCUGCAACCCGACUCCGUGAAGCUGGAUUCGCUAGUAAUCGCGCAUCAGCCAUGGCGCGGUGAAUACGUUCCCGGGCCUUGUACACACCGCCCGUCAAGCCAUGGGAGCCGGGGGUACCUGAAGUCCGUAACCGCGAGGAUCGGCCUAGGGUAAAACUGGUGACUGGGGCU
rnacentral:rRNA from 1 species